ensembl:snoRNA SNORA70 Small nucleolar RNA SNORA70
UGGCAAGCAGUUAAGCCAACCAGGCCCCUUUACUCUCAGGGGCCUGCUUUGCAGAGGCUGUGAACAACCCCUCCUUGGUAGCACAGCAGCCUGUUUCCUAUAUGGACUGCCCUAAGGGACCUUGGAGACAACG